rnacentral:rRNA from 1 species
CCUACGGGGGGCAGCAGUGAGGAAUAUUGGUCAAUGGGCGCGAGCCUGAACCAGCCAAGUAGCGUGAAGGAUGACUGCCCUACGGGUUGUAAACUUCUUUUAUAAAGGAAUAAAGUGAGGCACGUGUGUCUUUUUGUAUGUACUUUAUGAAUAAGGAUCGGCUAACUCCGUGCCAGCAGCCGCGGUAAUACGGAGGAUCCGAGCGUUAUCCGGAUUUAUUGGGUUUAAAGGGAGCGUAGAUGGUUGGUUAAGUCAGUGGUGAAAGGUUGGGGCUCAACUGUAAAAUUGCAAGUGAUACUGGCAGUCUUGAGUGUAGUUGAGGUAGGCGGAAUUCGUGGUGUAGCGGUGAAAUGCUUAGAUAUCACGAAGAACUCCGAUUGCGAAGGCAGCUUACUAAACUGCCACUGACGUUGAUGCUCGAAAGUGUGGGUAUCAAACAGGAUUAGAUACCCGAGUAGUC